rnacentral:rRNA from 1 species
UACGUAGGGCGCAAGCGUUAUCCGAAAUUAUUGGGCGUAAAGAGCUCGUAGGCGGUUUGUCGCGUCUGCCGUGAAAGUCCGGGGCUCAACUCCGGAUCUGCGGUGGGUACGGGCAGACUAGAGUGAUGUAGGGGAGACUGGAAUUCCUGGUGUAGCGGUGAAAUGCGCAGAUAUCAGGAGGAACACCGAUGGCGAAGGCAGGUCUCUGGGCAUUAACUGACGCUGAGGAGCGAAAGCAUGGGGAGCGAACAGG